rnacentral:rRNA from 1 species
UACGUAGGGGGCAAGCGUUGUUCGGAAUUACUGGGCGUAAAGGGCGCGUAGGCGGCACGGUAAGUCAGGAGUGAAAGGCCUUGGCUCAACCGAGGAACUGCUUUUGAGACUGCCGAGCUAGAGUGCAGAAGGGGCAACUGGAAUUCCCAGUGUAGCGGUGAAAUGCGUAGAUAUUGGGAAGAACACCUGAGGCGAAGGCGGGUUGCUGGGCUGACACUGACGCUGAGGCGCGAAAGCCAGGGGAGCAAACGGG